CCCCUCCCCCUCCACCUUGUUUGAGCACCGUUCCUGGUCGGCGGUUUCACUUCCUCCCACUGUGACGCUAACAUUGCCCCCCCCCCCCCCCGCCGGGGAGAAUAGUAACAUAACUCUGGGCCGGUUCUUACAGGCUGGCCCCCCCCCCCCCCCCCACCCCCACCCCACCUCUGGCUGGCACCAAGGCGGAGUGCUAUACAGUCCAAAGGAGCACAGCUGCGCUUUCCCCUCCUCAACCUCCUCUAGUCACUCACUUACCAACACCUUCAUCACCUACCCUUCACCACCAGUGGAAGCAGGCUGAAUGCUUAUGGGUGUUUGCCUCGGGAGCACUGCUUAUCACAUUCCCUCAGGUAAAAGAGUCAGAGCAAGGGGAUGGAUGUAGCGCCCGAAACACCCGCGGGGUAAGUAAAGUCAAGGGCUAAAAAAUGAGCUGGAAACAGCACACGCUGCUGCAUCUCAAGGUAUGAUUAUUUUCCUAUUUCUUUUUGCAUCCGAUUGACCUCCACAGCCACAGCGAGAAUCCAAAACUCAAACCCUUUCGCGCUAACCGUUUGACUUGUGUGACCCAACCUCUCACGGAACACGCUUCAUCAGAGAAUGUGUCAUGUCACAUUCCUCCAAUCCUGUGCGUGCGUCCGACUGUGCGCCAUCCACGACUCUGCGUCCCCCCCCCCACCCCCCCCUCCUUCCCUUCAUCCUCCUGACAUUCUUGUGUGUUCUCUUCCCCCGUGACAGAGCUGACCAGCAUGUACUCCUCCCUCGGUUUUCACAGGUCUGCAGAUGGACCACACGGAGAGACUGUUGAAUUGAAGACGCUUGGUUUAAAGGCCGUUCUGACUUUCGGUUUUGGGGGGCUUUUUUUCUUUUUCCUCAGAUGUGCCGAGGAACUUCUCCGUCAAUUUAGCCACAAAGACCAGCGUUCUUCUGACCUGGGAGUUUCCAGAGAGCACCUAUCCCUAUCGCUUUACUGUGGAGUACAACCGGCAGAAGAUGGAGGUGGACGCGCGGCUCCGGAAGGCGGUGAUCCCCAACCUGCAGCCCGACACCAGCUACGACUUCAAGAUCACCUCCCCGGAGGGCAACAUGGGGGGCCUGCGCCACCGCAUCAACGCCAAGACCUCCCCGCCCAUCACCAUCCGCCGGCCCGAGGUGGACCACACCCGCGACUCGGAGACCACCGUCACCAUCAUCCUGCCCUCUCUGGAGACCCGCACGCCCGUCAAGUAAGCCCCCCCCCCCCCCCAUGGACACGCCCCCACAUUGACACGCCCCCUGGCCGGAGAUCGCAAUGGAUGUCAAAAUCGUAA
rnacentral:lncRNA from 1 species